GACGAACGCUGGCAGCGUGCUUAACACAUGCAAGUCGAACGGGAUUUAGUAGACAGAAACCUCGGUGGAAGAUUACUAAUGAGAGUGGCGAACGGGUGAGUAACGCGUGAGCAACCUGCCUAUGACAGUGGGAUAGCCUCGGGAAACCGGGAUUAAUACCGCAUAAAAUCGUAGAAACACAUGUUUCAACGGUCAAAGAUUUAUCGGUCAUAGAUGGGCUCGCGUCUGAUUAGCUAGUUGGUGAGAUAACAGCCCACCAAGGCGACGAUCAGUAGCCGGUCUGAGAGGAUGAACGGCCACAUUGGAACUGAGACACGGUCCAAACUCCUACGGGAGGCAGCAGUGGGGAAUAUUGCACAAUGGGGGAAACCCUGAUGCAGCGACGCCGCGUGAACGAAGAAGGUAUUCGUAUCGUAAAGUUCUGUCCUAUGGGAAGAUAAUGACAGUACCAUAGAAGAAAGCUCCGGCUAAAUACGUGCCAGCAGCCGCGGUAAUACGUAUGGAGCGAGCGUUGUCCGGAAUUAUUGGGCGUAAAGGGUACGCAGGCGGUUUAAUAAGUCGAAUGUUAAAGAUCGGGGCUCAACCCCGUAAAGCAUUGGAAACUGAUAAACUUGAGUAGUGGAGAGGAAAGUGGAAUUCCUAGUGUAGUGGUGAAAUACGUAGAUAUUAGGAGGAAUACCAGUAGCGAAGGCGACUUUCUGGACACAAACUGACGCUGAGGUACGAAAGCGUGGGGAGCAAACAGG
rnacentral:rRNA from 1 species